rnacentral:rRNA from 1 species
GCUCGGGCGCUUUAAAGACUUUGUCGUAAACGAUUUAUCGUUUGUUUGAGCUUUUCGCAUACGCAAUCCGGCGAACAAUACUCUCAAAGUUUGACCUCAAAUCAGGUAGGAAUACCCGCUGAACUUAAGCAUAUCAAUAAGCGGAGGAAAAGAAACCAACCGGGAUUGCCUUAGUAACGGCGAGUGAAGCGGCAAAAGCUCAAAUUUGAAAUCUGGUACCUUCGGUGCCCGAGUUGUAAUUUGUAGAAGGUAACUUUGGGGCUGGUCCUUGUCUAUGUUCCUUGGAACAGGACGUCAUAGAGGGUGAGAAUCCCGUGUGGCGAGGAUCCCAGUUCUUUGUAAAGUGCUUUCGAAGAGUCGAGUUGUUUGGGAAUGCAGCUCUAAGUGGGUGGUAAAUUCCAUCUAAAGCUAAAUAUUGGCGAGAGACCGAUAGCGAACAAGUACAGUGAUGGAAAGAUGAAAAGAACUUUGAAAAGAGAGUGAAAAAGUACGUGAAAUUGUUGAAAGGGAAGGGCAUUUGAUCAGACAUGGUGUUUUGCGCCCUCUGCUCCUUGUGGGUGGGGGAAUCUCGCAGCUCACUGGGCCAGCAUCAGUUUUGGCGGCAGGAUAAAUCUGCAGGAAUGUAGCUUGCCUCGGUAAGUGUUAUAUCCUGUAGAAAUACUGCCAGCUGGGACUGAGGACUGCGACUUUACGUCAAGGAUGCUGGCAUAAUGGUUAUAUGCCGCCCGUCUUGAAACACGGACCAAGGAGUCUAACGUCUAUGCGAGUGUUUGGGUGUAAAACCCGUACGCGUAAUGA